rnacentral:rRNA from 1 species
GGACCCGCACAAGCAGUGGAGCAUGUGGUUUAAUUCGACGCAACGCGAAGAACCUUACCAGCGUUUGACAUGGGAAGUACCGGUUACAGAAUGGUAACCUUCAGUUCGGCUGGCUUCCGCACAGGUGCUGCAUGGCUGUCGUCAGCUCGUGUCGUGAGAUGUUGGGUUAAGUCCCGCAACGAGCGCAACCCUCACUUUUAGUUGCCAUCAUUAAGUUGGGCACUCUGAAAGAACUGCCAGUGAUAAGCUGGAGGAAGGUGGGGAUGACGUCAAGUCCUCAUGGCCCUUACGUGUUGGGCUACACACGUGCUACAAUGGUAUCUACAACAGGAAGCAAGACGGCGACGUUAAGCAAAUCUGUAAACACAUCCCUAGUUCGGAUUGUAGGCUGCAACUCGCCUACAUG